CCCAAUUUAAAAAGUACCCCAUCUUCCUCUCAUUGUAUCAAAUUGUGAAACUCUCUCUGCCUCUAGCCGCCAUCAACGUUGAAUUUUCAGGCGAAUCAACGUCGAUUGAGAACUCAUUUUAAGUUUAUAAUCCGCCGUCAGGUAGUUUUUGACCUUCAAUCAACAAUCCUGUUAAUUUACCCAUCUCAAGUCUUGUUAAGUGUGGGAUUUUCGGGGUUUUAUGUUGAUUGCUUGUGGGGUUUGGAGAUGUGAGGUCUGGGCUAAAAAAAGCAUGUAAAGAAAUGGCUGCUUCUGAGGUUUCGACUAUGGGUUACACGAAUCGUGUAACGGUGGAAAAUGGAAUUUCAAGCAUCUGGAAAUGUAAAAAUUUCGGCGAUUAUUUGGAAUUUUUCGAUUUUUUUCUGGCUUCUGAUUUUUGAGUUUAUUUUGUUAGUGGAUGCUGAGACAACGCUGUAUACGGAGCUAUGGAAGGCAUGUACUGGUCCUUUAGUUACUGUGCCUCGUGAAAAUGAGCUUGUUUUCUUCUUUUUUUUUUUUUUUUUUUUUUUUUUUUUUUGAUAACCCAGGUGUCCCAGCUUAGCCGGACUAAAUCCUGGACUUCUAGCCCCCGGCCCCUCAAUGACUAGUGGAGGUAAAUCGCAGGUUGUGCCCUUGUUGGUUCCCAGGUUCCCACAUGGCUUUUACUCCUUCCCCAAAGGGAUCCUCCUCCAUGGUUAUUACAUCACCAACCUGCUCCAACCCUUCCUCUGGUUAUUACAUCACUUGGCUGCUCCAACUAGGAAUCGAACUCCCCACACUUGGUUCCAGAGCCCCCCAAUGUGAUUGUUCCGCCAACUUGGAUGUGCCCUGGGGGGCAAAUGAGCUUGUUUUCUAUUUCCCUCAAGGUCACAUAGAACAUGUUUUUCUUUUUUACUUUACUAUUUCAGAGUGUGUGGAAUGUGGAAUGUCUGUGUAAAAUUUCUUUUCACCCCUCAUAAUAAUUUGAAGUAAUUGCAAGGGCCUUGUUCUCAACUGGUUAUCAAAUUGGAGUUCCACAUCUUCAAAUCAAGAUUUAUUUGUGUGAUCAAUGAUGUAACAAAAUUCGGGCACUCUGUUUUUGUUGUGUUGUUUAAAUUGAUCUCCAAGUUUGUACACGGAUAAUGGAGGUGCCAACGAGAUAAAAAUAUAUACAAUUACCAAAAUUUGUAAAUUAACAUAAAUUUUGCUCCUUGCAUUGUGUAUCACCUUUUCAGAUUUCAGCUUCCAUGGUUGUUGGUUUUCAUGUUUGCUCUUAAGUUAAUUAAAUAGUCAUAGCUUUGUGUUUUCAAUUGCUAAGUUUCAAUUAAUCGUCUUCUUUGCAAGAGCUGAGUUAAGAAGAAAGGUAAUGACUUUGAUCACUGCGUGAAUCAUAAGUUGAAAUAAGACAAAUUUGUUCAAGUCAAAUAACAUAACGAAGUGUGCGUGAAGGUUCUUGUUAGAAAUGAUUUAAUUCUAACUUGAAUUAGUUUCAAGGCUCUUGUUAUAAGCUUGGAGUAUAGCAUAAUAAUUUAGCCCAGUUUGGCCCCUAUUAAAUUUCAUUACAUGACAUUCUAUUUUUCUCUUUCCUAUUUUCAACCACACAAUCAUUUAUAAAAUAAUAUUACACGUAAAUCAAAAAAUUUUCUUUCUUUUUCAACCACUUAUUUUUCAAAAAAAAAAAAAAUACUAUUCCACCCAUUUUCAUUUCUAGAAAAUGGGGGCCAAACGGGGGCUUAAUCCAACAAACUGGUAUUUUUAUACAUCUUGCAAUUUUUAUUUUUAUUUUUUUGUAUGUUUAAACAUUAUAUCUCCCGUAAAAUUCUGCUCUAUUUAUAAGUUAAUAGUUUUUGGGUGGUAGUAAAUAAAUUUGUUUGAGCUAGUUUGUUUAGUUUAUUCGUCUUCAACAAAACUUUUUAAAAAAAAAUUCCGUUUUUCUUUAUUGGGAGGAGGUGUUUUUAAAAACAAGUUAAGCUCCUUGGUUUAACGUUAAUUUGACUUGGAUUGAAAGUUGAAGUUCAAAAAUUGAAUCAGCAAUGCAAAUUAACAGUAAUUUGACUAGGUAUCAUAGAAUGCGUCAAUUUUUAGCUGUUUUUCAUGACAUUUGUUAUCCUUGACAUUGUUUAAUUAGGUUAUUGGAGCAGUGUGUCAUACAUUUUAACAGUGUCACAUACUGGUUGUUUAUUUUUGUGUUGUUCUUUUUGAAAAGAUUUCAUACUUUUUGUUACUACUUUUUUUUUUUUUUUUUGGGAUUGUUUUGAUGCCAUCAUGAUGUUAAAUGCUCGAGUUAGAUAUACUGCUUUUGCAUUCUACCCUAGAGACCAUGUCACUGACUCACUGCAUCUUUGAAUUUUUUUAUUCAUUAUAAUGUAGAAGAGUGGAAUGCCAGCCUCUAAUUUUUUUUAACCUUUGUGGAAAUUCUACAUCACAAAACCUUGACCUUUGUUCGUUCAAUUCUCAAUGGUAAGAACAAGGUCAAAUUUUGUAUCAAUGUUAAGAUAACGUUCAAGUUUUAUUCUUGGUUUAUUCGAAAGAAGUGUAAUUGAUGGUUUUGCAUCCAUGCCUGUGAUUAUAAUUCUGGUGAAAGUUUUAGAGGAAAGAGAGUUGUAGUUGUGGGAUGUGGAACUUGAGGCAUGGAAGUGUCUCUUGAUCUUUGCAACCAUGAUGUGAUUUAUAGGUUUUCUUUUUUAGGUUCAUAUAUUGCCAAUGGUUCUUACUUAUUUUUCUUUGCUUUUCUUCGUGAUUAUAAUUGGUACAAAUGUCUAAAAUGUGGUAUCUAUCUUUAUCUCCUUUUUUUAUAGGUCGGGAUCGAUAUUUAAGGCAUAGCUCAGUCGAAGAUUGCUGAGAAGAAAAUUACAGAGGCCGAUAGAGUGGUUUCAC
rnacentral:lncRNA from 1 species